UGAAUUUCUGUGAUUAUUACAUUGCUUUGUAUUAUUGCUUAUCUUCUCUCCAUCAAGUAUUUUCAAGGAAUUUGACAAGGGAAGAGGACCAGUGCUGACCAAGUGAAGAAAAAGAAGAGUCUAUUGCCAAGUUUUGUACAGCAGCCAAUAUCUGAUUAAGGAGUGGGCAGGUGGUUAUGCUGGCAUUGAUCCUGUUUCCAAAAGCAGAUCAACAUGAUUCCUCAAGACUCCAAAGAGAUCAACUAUGGGACCUGAAAAUAAAGGCAGACUGCCAUCAAUUUCAUGUUUCUUUGACAGCAGACAAAUAUGCUUCAACAAUAGUGCAGAGAGUAUAAUUUAAGGUUUGGACUGCAAGUGAUGGACACACUAAAUAACUCAACUCAAAGAAUUCAAUGGAUAGUGCUGAGUACAUUAUUAUAUAUCUACAAAGUGAU